UUCGUCUUGUUGAAACUGUGUGUGUGUAGGCCUAAAAAGAUUUUCUUCUUGUAUUCUUCUUCCUUUUUAAGGGGUGGUGGGGGUGGGUGCCGGAUGUAGGCCGCCAAGUGAGAAACAACUUAUUAUUCUCUAGCGACUUCCUAAUCGGACCAUCAAUCUACACAUCUGUCGGCUCUUAACAGCAAUCGAGUCGAGUCACUCUUGGCUCAUUUUCCCCAUCGAUUAAUACGCUUCAGACACCUGGAAGCUGAACUGCUGCUGCCGGCUGCUUGCUCUGCUGCUUCUUCUUUUUCUUCUCCUCCUGUCAAUUUCUGUACACGCCACACACUCGAGGAGGCACUAACAGCAACGGGGAAAAAAAAAGAGAAACAAGAUGGUAUCGCGCUGACGAAAACGAAUUGGAAAUCAUUCGGGGCCCCUUGUGCUGGUGCUACUUCUACCACCCGGCCAGAGGAAGCUGUCGGGGCAGUUGUGGAAGAAAGAAGAAGAAUAAUCCUGCCACAAAGGGGAAUAGAAAAGAAUAGUCCCGAGUAUGACAAGGGACAAGACGACCGAGAGUGUUCCCUCAGCCGUACUACUCACUCGACAACAACGAGAAGAAAACGUCAUAAUUUAUCUACGUGUCUCUCUCCGAACCCGUAAAGGUCUUUUUUUUUUUUGAAAGAAUUUUGAAUAAUGCAUUAAUAAUAAUUUCUUUUUUUUUUCUUCUUUCCCCUACUGCACGAUAAUGUCGGAAACUGUUUGCUGGUCGGGGACAAAACCAGAAGAAGAAGGGGGGGGGGGACAAGAUGUAAUGCUAUUACAUUUGAAACUGAAUAACCUAAAAAAGGGAAAUAGGGAAAAAACAGCGUCUCUUAUCUUUUUGGAAUGCGUCCUAUUGAGCGCCUCUUGUCCAAUCCUCUAUCAUAAAACUAUACGAGACCUAGGCGCCCGAUCAUCACCGCGGAUGUCUGGCGUCCAACGCAGGCGACGAAUCUCUCCACCACAAUCAGGACAACACAAAAAUGUCGCAGGCCUACCAUAUAAUCUAAAAACUUGCAUCUACCCCCCACCAUCACCACCAGGCCUAUUCUUCUUCAGUUUGAACGUGUGAACAUAACUCCUUUUCUAGGAUCUUGGUGUCCCGAUUCUUUUUUUUUUUUCUUGGAGGGAGAAUGUUGGGCGAGAUGUACAUCUUGGACGUUCCAUUUUGUGUGUGUUGUUUCCAUUUUUACGAUGUCCUGGAAUGGCAACAAUAGCGGGAAAUUCAAUUUGUCUGAUAAUGCCGAAACGAACUGUCCAUUUCGCCGACAUUUUUUACACACAAUAGGACGAAACAAUUCUCCUUUUUAUUUUUUUCAAAUCCGAGUAGAAGCAAUCGAAAUUGAAGUGAGCGACCAAAGUACUGGGAUUAAAUGCUAUAGAUAUAUAAAACCCCCGAGUGAUGUAUAAAUCCUUAUAUACCUUUUCUUUCUUUUUUAAAUCUGUUUGUACCCAGUAGAAAAGGAGAGAAGAUCCUACAGGAAAGAAAAUGGGAUUUUCAGGUCCUGGGAUUUGUGUGCAAUGAAGAAAAGAUUGGCGGCGGCCCUUUUCUUUUUUCUUUCUUUUUCCAAAAGUCAAAUAGAAACGGGCGGUCAAUUCUCUCAAGAAGGAAAAAGAAUUACAGCGCGCGGUAUUUCUUGAUGAAACGGAAUUUAGUAGCUCCCACGCACGACGGGCACGUGUACGACGUACCGAUGGAUGGCUAACUUACAAUAGAAGACCUUUGAUUCCCAUCCACCGCUAUAGGACUUUUUUUUUUCUAUCAUGAAUUAUGGAUUGAGCCGUAUGCGCUUUAUUUGAAAUUGGCGGCACCGUGUGGGAGGAGAGCAAUAAAUGUGAGAAGAAGGAGGGGAUCAUUUCCCUAUCGCCUCCGUGUGAGCGUGUGUCUGAUCCACCCCUGGAUUAUUCCGAAUCAUUUAUUUAUUAGAUUGCCUUUCGUUACUUUUUUUUUCUUUUUCCCCUCCUCGUUGUAUAGUCAAAAGCCUGUGGGUGUUGCUUUAGCUCCUUCGUCUUGACUUUUAUUAAGUUCUUUGGUUGGUUUGUUUGUAUUCUUCUUUUUCUUUUAUCCUUUUGUAUUUUCGCAGGCACUUGAUCAUCAAAGAUUCAGCCAGGAUCGACGACUGUACCGAACGGCUGGGUGAUGACAGAAGGCCCAUCCAUCUAAUCCCCCAAGCAUUUCGAAAUUUUUUUUUUCGGGGUUCCUUUUGGGCGGAUGAUGACACCGGAACGCGCGCUCACUUGGGGAACCCCGUGAAGAUGUGAGCUGCUGCACGAACUUGUGUGUCCCAGUCAGGGUUCCAUGACGAAUGAAAUUUCCUCCUCUGAAUCCCUCGACUACCACAUCAUCAUCCCUGCAGGGUGUCGAUCGUCGACUCUCUCUUCCGUUUUUUUUUUCUGUUUAGGUUUAUCCAAUAUCAACAUGGAAUAUUACACACACGAACAAAAAAAAUAAAAGGGGAGAAGCUCAAAAGGUAUUGUUUGAUUUUCUCUUUUGUGUUUUGUUUGUUAUUUCUUUUUCUGGGGCCGGGUGGAAUCGAUCAAUUAACAAGUCAGAGAGUGGCAAGUGGCAGACAGCAUCAAGGGUGUAUACGCAUAUACAGCAUACCGCGCUGCUACAAAGGGGGAAUCGAUCCAUUCUGACGAUUCCAUAUUCAACGAUGUUUGUACAAUGACAGCUGAUAGUAUACCUGCACCGUCUUUAGUUUGAUGCCAACAUAAUCAAAAGAGUCCAAUAACAAGGUAAAAGAAGAAUUUUUUCAUUUAUACUAUCUUCUAUCCAGCAACUCUUUAGAUGAAUGGAAUUAUUUGCGCUUCAAUCAACAUUGUCCCAUUGAUGGAUUCAUUUGAUCACAUCCAUCCAAGAACAGUCCUUACUCCCUCUCUCUUCUAGUCUUCUUCUUCUUGUUCUCUACAUCGGGCACCGAACCGAAAUCCACAAAGGUAUAAAUGGAUUUAUUUCCAUCGCUCUCGCCCACUCUCUCACACUCGGUUCGCUAUGGCUGGCGUGUGAGUAUAUGUGUCGCUUAUAUUUGUAUUAUUAGCUCCUUCCGGUACGACGGACGUCAUCACCAGGCGUGCGUGAGUUUCUACCACUCUUCAUUCUCUCUCUCUCUUCAACAUAUAUUAUAUAGGCUUUCGCUAAUUCUCUUUUGUGGAGACUAGCAUGAAAGACCACCCUAGCUAUCGUUUGGUUAGGUUUCCUUUUGUUUUUAUUUCGUCCACGGUUGGUAUAUCGAUUUAAAAAAAAAAUUCACCUCCUACUUCAGACUUGUAGCCCCCCGAUGCCCUAAAGUUCAAGUUCAAUGAAUGCGUCAAAGCCUUUUGAAUAAUACUCCCCUCGUUGUCGAUAAACUUUUCGAGGGUGUACACCAAGGGGAAUUCAAUCAAUGGCAGGUGUUUUUUUUUUCAUCCAUCGAAAUGCGUGGGCCAACUUUGAGAAAUUCUUUUCCUCUUGUCAAGUCUCAAGUUUUUUUUUUCUCUACUUGUGAAUGAAUGGGAAAAAAGGGAGUGCUUCACACGACCAAAUUACGAAAUCAUCUCUCAACAUUUUCUUCGUUUCUCUUUCUUCACGGCAGUCGCGAGUUUUUGACAUCAAGGGCCCCCUAUAGUACUGUACGGAGUUUGAAUAAGAGAAUCGUCUUUUCAUUUCGGCGUGCAGAGUCUCGAAAGGCUGAAAUAUCACCCCAUAUCUUGUUGCUGAUCCUAGAAGGUCUGAGGCUGAGCUUUUGUUGCCGUAAACAGGUCAUUUGCAGGCAUCUUCUUUCUUCUUGCUGCUGAUAAUGCUGGCUCCUUUUUCUCUCUCCCGACUCCUCUCGUGCCUGUCACUAUUUUUUUUCUUUCAGGGAAUGACUGGUAAUUUGUGAUUAGAGAAACCAUCACACUCGACUAGGGCGACGAAGGCGGGUAUUAUAAUUUGAGAAAUGGCCGUGGCUUUGGUUGACGUGGUUGGGGCCCGGCAGUUCGUGACCGUUUUAGCGACCGCUGGGGACAGAUUCGACGGUGACACGUAAUAUUUAUACGCCCAGUGAGCGCGGCUGUUUUCAAAUUCAAACGCUGACGAACGUUUCCGGUCCAGGGCGAAAUCUAGUUGGAUAGAUGAUCAUUUUCUAGUGGGAGGAGAGCGCAAUAACGGGCUGCUGCUGCUGCUGCCCAGUGCGGAUAUGACCAGAUGAAUCAAUUAUCUGCCGCUUGACGUCUUUUCGUUUACUCCCUUUCUGCAGGAUCAAUCCGUGUCCCGAUGGGGGGCAGCAGCAUGCACGGUCAGUCUUCACGUUGAUUUGUUGAGACACGGAAUUAUCUGAAAAGGCUCGAAACAAUUUGUGGGAUACCCACGUUGUCCCCCCUGAUUGCAGCUCUCCUUUCUUUGGGUGUUAUUUUUAGUCAUUUUCAACCCGUUGGAUAUUUAUUGACCUGUUAUAGUUUAGGUGGUGGAAGGAGAAACGUCUUGCAACAGGAAAGCAGCUGACUCACAGGGCAACUCUUCUCUGCCGGUGAUAUUUACGGCCGUCAUAACGGUAGCUUAUGGUUUGUUUGGCAUGGUGGAAAAUAUUUGGAAGGAUUUUUCUUCUUCUUUGCUGCCUCCAUCAACCUCUUGAAGGCUUAUAUAUUCCCGACACGAUAUAGCAAGACUAUGAUCGUCAGUUAUUAUCCUCUCCCGGGAUUAUAUUAUUCCUCCGCUUCUUUAGACCUUUUCCUCCUUCUCAAGAUUCUUCUCUCUCUCUUUUUUUCUUUUUCUCUUUUUCUCUUUUUCAUUUACGCUAGAGAGGAGCUUCUUUUAGUCGACACUCAUAAUCUCUGCCUCUAUCCUGCCCAUCUAGACGACGAGGCCUAUGCAAAUCAAGCGGUGGAGAAGUUACGACUUUGAACGGGGCUGAACGCAACCAAGAAGAAGGAGGAAAGAAUGAACGAAUCACCUGGCCCACUUUAUCGAGGCCUGUCAAGACAUUUUUACCCUUGUGGCGUCCGGGUGUCCCUGUCGGCGGUGCGCGCAAGGUGGAAUUUUUUUCUUCUUCUUCUUCUCGCAGGAUCUCAUAGACUAAUGAGGAAUUCUUGUAUACAGGCGAUAACGCCAGAGAGACACACUGCUGUGUGCACACACACACACAGACCCGAACUGUGUGUGUUGUAAAUUGGCUUAUCUGACGUCAGGGUCUAGCGUGACGAGUCGCGGGAGAAGGGGGGGGGGAAUAGUACACCAACACAAACCGAGUAAAAAAAAAUCUGGCCACUAACGAGCACCAACUCUCUCUCUCUCUCUCUUUCUUGCAACACGACCAUCUGAAUUGAUGCUAUCAAUUCAUUUUUUUCUUUCUUUUCUCUAUUGUUUUCGGCCAGGUCAUGGCGUGUAAAUCAAUCAAUUAGCACAAGGUCCAAGAGCGAAUAUUCUUAAAGUGAGAUUGAAGAUUAGAAAAUGUGUUAUUUCACCAGCCGAGAGAAAUUGCGUCUGUUUGGAAUCGAACUCGGAAUCUUACGGAGCUCAACAGGGAGCACGACAUUAAAGUACUCGAUCAAUUACACACUCCACAACUAGUCAGGCCUCUUAUGCUGGCCGUCGGGGGAUUUAGUUUUUUCUUUUUGGUGGGUGUGUUUAAUUAGCUGCUCAUUUUGCCGUACGGUUCAACUGCAGAGGCCUUUAUGGUCAUCAAUCUUGGACUGGACGUCACCGUCCAGUAGUGGCUUGUAUAAAAAUGAAAACACAAACGUUCGCCAACGGCUAGCUGUGACUCUAUUUUCGACUCGGAUUAAUAUCACAGCGUAAAAGAAAUGGGAAGAAAAGGGCUUUUACGUUAGAUACAUAUUUGAAUGCUCUGAACUGAUGAAAUAACCCGUUGUGAUGGAAAGCGUGAAACGCCGCGGCGCCCGGCCCCGACGGAUUUUCACGCUGCUCUGCUGACACGAGAUCGAGUCGAGCCGAGCCCGCGCCUGUUUGUUUCAGCAACCUGGGCGUUUAACCCUCUUAACUAAAUUUCGUCUAGACUCUUAUGUAUUUGACUCGGAGGAUGGAAGCCUUAUUCGUCUUGCCCGUGGAUUCACGACAAUCAAGGAAACCUGCUGCUAAACAGGUUUUUUCUUUCUCUUUUUUUUUUUGUAAUAGUAUUAUCUUUUUUCUUCUCUUCUUUCGUUGUUGUUUAUAACCUCUGGUGUAAUGCCGUUGUCGUUAACCAUAGCCUUGCAACUAAAUAAAUCAAAGUGGGAGGACUCUUGAAUCUUGAUGCUGGGGUGGCGCGGGUCGGUCGGCCGGCUUUUGUACCGUUUCCUUUUAGUUACGCUCUUUAGCAUUGUUUUGCGAUUCCCAGACAAUAAUUCGUAUAAUAAUGUGAACGAGAGAGGAGGCCGAACGAAUCUUUGUUUCUUAUUACAUGGUCAUGGGGCAGAGAUGAUUCCUUUCUUCUGAUUGCGAUGAAUGGAUGGCCUCAAGCUGGCGCAUCGUAUUGAGUUGCUAUGCUUGUCUCCGGGUGAUGGGUGGUUCCGCCGGAGAAGGAUUGUAGAAAGGAGAACUGGGCGAUUACUUAUCAACCUGGGCGACACGCGAAUUGUCAAUUGCCAGGAAAGGAGUUAUUAUCACAAGGUUUUCUUUUUACAUUUGCCACCGGGUUAUCAACACUUCUUGCUGGCUCGUGCCUCGAUGGUCUUAUUCUGCGUUGUUAUAAUAGGUAUUUUACAAUCCCUAAGCGUUAAUAUAAAUGUUGUUAUAAAAAGGUUGAUUUCUAAGGCUCACUACGAUCCAUUGUUUUUAGUUGUUCCACUCUUUGAUUAACUUAAAAACUUAAAAAUGAAAGAUUUUAGAAUAAACAGUUUACAUGACGUUUUUAAACAAACAAUAAUUCAUGAAUUUAAUUUAGAUGUGUGUUUAAUUUAAACGUGGUUGAC